rnacentral:rRNA from 1 species
UACGGGGGGGGCAAGCGUUGUUCGGAAUUACUGGGCGUAAAGGGCUCGUAGGCGGCCGACUAAGUCAGACGUGAAAUCCCCCGGCUUAACCGGGGAACUGCGUCUGAUACUGGACGGCUUGAAUUCGGGAGAGGGAUGCGGAAUUCCAGGUGUAGCGGUGAAAUGCGUAGAUAUCUGGAGGAACACCGGUGGCGAAGGCGGCAGCCUGGACCGACAUUGGCGCUGAGGAGCGAAAGCCAGGGGAGCAAACGGG